AUUGAACGCUGGCGGCAGUGCUUAACACAUGCAAGUCGAACGGUAACAGGCCCUUCGGGGUGCUGACGAGUGGCGGACGGGUGAGUAAUGCUUAGGAAUCUGCCUAGUAGUGGGGGAUAACCCGGGGAAACUCGGGCUAAUACCGCAUACACCCGUACGGGGGAAAGCGGGGGACUUUCGGGCCUCGCGCUAUUAGAUGAGCCUAAGUCCGAUUAGCUAGUUGGUAGGGUAAUGGCCUACCAAGGCGACGACGGUAGCUGGUCUGAGAGGACGACCAGCCACACUGGGACUGAGACACGGCCCAGACUCCUACGGGAGGCAGCAGUGGGGAAUAUUGGACAAU
rnacentral:rRNA from 1 species